rnacentral:lncRNA from 1 species
GCCAGUUCCUGUGCCUAAGAAGGAACCUGCUGCUCCCCCAAAAGUCCCAGAGGUGCCAAAGAAACCUGUCCCUGAAGAAAAGAUUCCCGUUCCUGUUGCAAAGAAAAAGGAAGCUCCCCCAGCUAAAGUUCCUGAAGUACAGAAGGGAGUUGUGACAGAAGAAAAAAUAACCAUUGUAACUCAAAGAGAGGAAUCUCCACCACCAGCAGUGCCAGAAAUACCAAAGAAGAAAGUUCCUGAAGAAAGGAAACCUGUUCCUCGGAAGGAGGAAGAAGUUCCACCACCACCAAAAGUGCCAGCUCUGCCUAAGAAACCCGUCCCAGAGGAGAAAGUUGCAGUGCCAGUUCCUGUCGCUAAGAAAGCUCCUCCUCCCCGAGCUGAAGUCUCUAAGAAAACUGUUGUAGAAGAAAAGAGAUUUGUUGCUGAAGAAAAACUAUCCUUCGCAGUUCCUCAAAGAGUGGAAGUCACGCGGCACGAAGUAUCUGCAGAGGAGGAAUGGAGUUACUCAGAAGAGGAGGAAGGUGUGUCCAUUUCAGUUUAUAGAGAAGAAGAAAGAGAGGAGGAGGAAGAAGCAGAGGUUACAGAAUAUGAAGUGAUGGAAGAGCCUGAGGAAUAUGUUGUGGAAGAAAAGCUGCACAUUAUUUCUAAGAGAGUGGAAGCUGAGCCAGCUGAAGUGACAGAGAGGCAGGAGAAGAAAAUUGUACUGAAACCAAAAAUUCCUGCUAAAAUAGAGGAGCCUCCACCGGCUAAAGUUCCUGAAGCACCUAAGAAAAUUGUGCCAGAAAAGAAAGUUCCUGCUCCAGUUCCUAAAAAGGAAAAGGUGCCCCCACCUAAAGUGCCAGAAGAGCCAAAGAAACCAGUUCCAGAAAAAAAGGUUCCUCCAAAAGUCAUUAAGAUGGAAGAACCUCUCCCAGCCAAAGUGCCAGAGGAACCGAAGAGAGCUGUCCCAGAAGAAAAAGUUCUGAAACUCAAACCUAAAAGAGAGGAGGAACCACCAGCUAAAGUGACUGAAUUCAGAAAAAGAGUGGUUAAAGAAGAAAAAGUAUCAAUUGAAGCUCCAAAAAGAGAACCUCAACCCAUCAAAGAAGUAACUAUAAUGGAAGAG